CGGGGACAGCGGAGACAGGUGGUGCAUGGUAGUCGUCAGCUCGAGUCGUGAGAUGUUGGGUAAGUCCCGCAACGGGCGCAACCCUUGAUCUUAGUUGCCAGCAUUCAGUUGGGCACUCUAAGGUGACUGCCGGUGACAAACCGGAGGAAGGUGGGGAUGACGUCAAAUCAUCAUGCCCCUUAUGACCUGGGCUACACACGUGCUACAAUGGACGGUACAAAGGGCAGCCAACCCGCGAGGGGGAGCCAAUCCCAGAAAACCGUUCUCAGUUCGGAUUGCAGGCUGCAACUCGCCUGCAUGAAGCCGGAAUCGCUAGUAAUCGUGGAUCAGCAUGCCACGGUGAAUACGUUCCCGGGCCUUGUACACACCGCCCGUCACACCACGAGAGUUUGUAACACCCGAAGUCGGUGAGGUAACCCUUGUGGAGCCAGCCGCCGAAGGUGGGACUGAUGAUUGGGGUGAAGUCGUAACAAGGUAACC
rnacentral:rRNA from 1 species